UGUCAAUGAUGUCUAAAAAAUUACUACGAUUUAAUUCGAAUUGCUGUGAGAUCAAUCUUAUACAAUUCUGAGACA
rnacentral:ncRNA from 15 species